rnacentral:lncRNA from 1 species
UAUCAAGUACCAUCAGAUAAUGAUAAUACACUUCCUAAUCUAACUUUGAAGAAUUUACAUCUUGCAUGAUUUCUCCUAUUGGAAUUGGAAGUUUAAAAUCUGCCAACAGACCAGUUUCGGUUUGAUGUGAGUUAGAAAUUAAGCUUAGUUUUUUUCGUCCACUGUUUUUCAUCUGGGAUUCUUUCAGAUAUACUACAAACCCUUUUAAAAGCAACAGAAAAUACUAACUUGAACAAAUAAAUAAAACACAAAAUCAUAAAAGGCAUUAUAAAAUUAAAAUCAUUUCAUUUCAAAACACAAAAUUCACAAUCUGUUCACUAGAUCAAACCAAUUUACAUCCACUCAAAAAUAAAAACUGUAUGACGAGAGAAACUUUCCUCGUUGUUAGAAUUCUUCAAUGCUCUUCUUCUCACUUUCCAGGGACAAAGUUAGUGGCAAAGGCCCAAGCAUUACUGUUAACUGGAUCAGCAAGGUGAUCAGCUAGGUUUUCCAAUGGGCCUUUUCCAGUCACAAUGGCCUGAACAAAGAAACCAAACAUAGAGAACAUGGCAAGUCUCCCAUUCUUAAGCUCCUUCACUUUAAGCUCAGCAAAUGCCUCUGGGUCAUCAGCAAGGCCUAAUGGGUCGAAACUCCCACCUGGGUAAAGUGGGUCAACAACCUCACCGAGUGGCCCACCGGCAACACGAUAACCCUCAACAGCACCCAUCAAGAUAACUUGUGUAGCCCAGAUUGCCAAGAUCAUGUACCAAGCUUGGGUUUCCCAAGUAGUCAAGCCCACCCUCGCUGAAGAUUUGGGCUCCAGCCUUAAACCAUACGGCUUCACCGAACUUCACACCGUUGCGAGCCAAAAGCUCAGGGAAUACACAACCAAGAGCUCCAAGCAUGGCCCACCUACUGUGGAUCACCUCAAGCUCACGGUUCUUGGCAAAGGUUUCGGGAAAAGCCGAGAGCCCGGCAGUGUCCCAACCGUAGUCACCUGGGAAUUCCCCGGAGAGGUAAGAUGGGGCCUCUCCAGAGAAUGGGCCCAAGUACUUGACUCGGUCUGGGCCAUACCAUGGGCUGCUAGAGGACACCGGCUUGGUGACAGUUUUCCUCAUGGAAACUCUUCCAUUACCAGAAAGCUCCGAUGAAGAUGGAGCAACUUUCACUGCCUGACCGGUAAAAGAUGGGGAAGAGAGGGCCAUUGCUGAAGUAGCCAUUCUGUAUAGUUGAAGUAAGAACUCUUAAAAGUAAUAACAGUUGUAGGAAUAGCUAAGAGAGGUACUAAUGGGCUUGAGUAUCAUGGGUUGUAACCUACGUAUAUAUAUACUUGGAUUAACUAGCUAGGGUCCUUAUCUUUGUACAUCUUUACCUUUAUCCUCAUUUGUUGAUGGUAUUUUGAGAACUUGGUUUCUUAUCCAUUUGGCAACUUCUAUACCACUACCAGCCUUGGAUUUAUUAGGUGCAGAAUGUGUCAAAAAAUCUCAUAGAAAUAGACAGUGAACACAAUAAUAGCCAAUCAGUUUGACUCAUGGAUUUUCUGCUUGGAGAAGCUAUCUCUAUACAUGAAUGUGCCUAGUUGCUAUCGAAUCAAAGUUUAUUAGUGUCAAGUGAAUGAUUGCUCCACUAUCUAAAAUAUUAUUGACAUACUUCUGAAAAUUUGUAUACCAUCAGAAUAUAUAUUUAGCUGAUUAGUUCCUUCGGAGUGUGAGUGAUAAUGAUUAAAUAAUAAUUAUAAUAUGAAGUAGUGUUAAGUGUUAACAAUUAGGUUAAAAGUAAAUUUCACAGCUGUCCUUAAAAGUNNNNNNNNNNNNNNNNNNNNNNNNNNNNNNNNNNNNNNNNNNNNNNNNNNNNNNNNNNNNNNNNNNNNNNNNNNNNNNNNNNNNNNNNNNNNNNNNNNNNCUGCCACUAUUAUCUGAAAGAGAAAAGGAUUUUUUCCCAAAAGCAUUUUUGUACCUUAGAUGUUAAAUUAUCAAUCAAAUUUAUUUUCCCAAGACAAAACAGAAGCAACCAUUAUUGAAAGGUUCACUACAUCAAGGAAUCUUUUAGUAGAAUAUAUGGAAAUAUUUUGAAACCUCUUGGAGGAAAAUUGGUUCCAAGGCCAAUCUUUCAUGGCCUACAUUAUGUGUUUCUUUAAAAUUUUGUAAUUUAGAAGUUCUGUUUUCUCCAUUUUCUAUGCGGCAAUAACCUGAAAAGGGUGUGGAUAUUAUUUUAUCUAUUUUGUUAAGGAUUUUUAUGUUAGUGGUAGUUCAAAUUUCAGCCAAACAGACUGCAAGAAUUACGAACUUAUAUGGGGAAAGAUAGAAUACAGUAGUGAAAUUAUAAGUAAAUCAGAACCAUUUGCACAAAAGUAUAUAGUAGCACAAAAAUUCAUAAUUUCAGCAUUCGAUCAGACCACAUUACAUCACUCAACUCAAAUUGAAAGUCAAACGGUAAGGAAUUCAAGACUCUCAUCUCUCACUUUCCAGGGACAAAGUUAGUAGCAAAGGCCCAAGCAUUGUUGUUUACUGGAUCAGCAAGGUGAUCAGCCAGGUUUUCCAAUGGACCUUUUCCAGUCACAAUGGCCUGAACAAAGAACCCAAACAUAGAGAACAUGGCAAGUCUCCCAUUCUUAAGCUCCUUCACCUUAAGCUCAGCAAAUGCCUCUGGGUCAUCAGCAAGGCCUAAUGGGUCGAAGCUCCCACCAGGGUAAAGUGGGUCAACAACCUCACCGAGUGGCCCACCGGCAACACGAUAACCCUCAACAGCACCCAUCAAGAUAACUUGAGUAGCCCAGAUGGCUAAGAUGCUUUGGGCAUGUACCAAGCUUGCGUUUCCCAAGUAGUCAAGUCCACCCUCGCUGAAGAUUUGGGCCCCGGCCUUAAACCACACGGCUUCACCAAACUUGACACCAUUGCGAGGCAAAAGCUCAGGGAAUACACAACCAAGAGCUCCAAGCAUGGCCCACCUACUGUGGAUCACCUCAAGCUCACGGUUCUUGGCAAAGGUUUCAGGCUCAGCUGAGAGCCCAGCAGUGUCCCAACCAUAGUCACCUGGGAAUUCUCCGGUAAGGUAAGAUGGAGCUUCACCGGAGAAUGGGCCCAAGUACUUGACUCGGUCUGGGCCGUACCACGGGCUGCCAGAUGAGACAGGCUUGGUGACAGUUUUCCUCAUGGAAACCCUACCAUUUCCAAAGAACUCUGACGAAGGAGAAACUUGCACAGCCUUCCCAGCAAAAGAUGGGGAAGAGAGAGCCAUUGAUGUAGCAACCAUUUAGUAGAUUUAAAAGAAAAUCAGCUGAAGACAACACCAGUUAUGGGAAUACCUAUAGAAAGGAGCUAGUUGGCUUGAGUUUCAUGGUAUGUAUCCAAAGUAUAUAUAUGGCUUGGGUUUAUAGGGUCCUUAUCUUUCGAUAUCUUUAUCUUUCUCUUCAUUGGUUGAUCGUAUUUUCAAAUCCAACUGGUAGUUUCUGUUUCACUAACCAGCCUUGGAUUUAUAUGUACAAUGUGUCAAAAAAUCUCACAGAAAAUUCUUAGCUAAGAUAAGAUUUUUGAUACUACAGGACACAUGAUUAUGUAAAUGUGGAUAAAGUGUUUUGGAAGGCACUCUAGGCUUCAAAUCCCAUACAUUCAUCACUAAUAGUAAUUAAAAAUUAUGUUUCCUUAGUUACUUAUUGUUCCAACAUAUCUUAUAUUUGAAUGACAUACUAAUGGGACGUUGCAUAAUACUUACUCAAACAUUUAAAGUCAUGAUUGUUAUAUGUUAUCAUCAACAAGGAGUACCUAACUAAAUGAAAAUGAGAUCACUACUCAGGAAGCAGAUAUAACACAUAAAAAUUAUGUAAUAAUUCCCUACAAUCGCCAUAAACAUCUCCACAAAGAUUUCAGAAAAAGAGAUGGGAAAAAAAGUAAAAACUAACCUAAUUUGGUGGGGGAUCAUUCUGCAAAAACUCAUCAACAGUUGAGGGAAAUUCAAAGCCUCCACAUCCACCACUAUUAUCUGAAAGCAAAGCAGCUUUAGCCAAAAGUAAAUGUGCCAAUCUCAAGGGCUCUUUUUUCUCACCCUCAUUCAUAAAAUGCUUAAUCCACCCCUCCAUUCUCUGAACUUCCUUGUUACAUCUUGGCCCCUUAACUUUAGCAAUCUUAACAUAAAACUCAUCAUCACAAUUACUAUUCAAAUCGAAUCCAACACCUUUUUGCUCUUCCUUUUUACAAUCAGAUAAACCCAAAAGUUGCAUUAACAAAUCGAUAUCAUCAGCCCCAUUUGUUUCGAGUUCAUUGAUUGUUUCUGGGUUAUGUAAAGGGCUUGAUUGAGGUGGGUCUUCAUGGAUAGCUGGGAAAUCAAGAGAACUUGAGAGGAAUUCUCGAGGGGGAUCACUUUCUUGAAGAAAUGAGUUACUACUGGUGGGUUGGUCGAAAUUAAGGUAUAUAGGAGAGCUGAGAGAUUCUGGUGGUGUAAAAUUGCUGUCUGGUGGUGGUGGAGAGGGAUUAAUGGAGGAUUGUGAAGUGUUCUCCGAUUUUAAUCUCUUCUCAACUUGUUUGAGAGAGGAGAAAAAGUGGGCAUGGGAUGAUGGUCGCAUCUUGAUUACUGUCAAUGCUCUGAAUUGAGGAUUAAUGGCACUAAAAAGCUCUCGUCUUUGGGACUAAUUAAAGGCGAAAGCGCGCCCUUUUGGGUUUGUGCAGUUGUCUUUGUACCCUUUCUAAGCGAAAAUGAAACAACUAGCCUACUAGUCUAGUUUUACUACUCCAUUAGUAGUUUACUCCUCCCUCCUUAUUACUCUUUCUCCUUCGUUCCUAUCCGUAUGUCGUUUUAGAUUUUUUUAUUAUUAUUUUUAAUUAUUUAUCGUUUAUGAUUAUCUAGAAGAAUUAAUUAUUAUUUUUUUCAAAUUGCCCUUUAUUACUCCACCUAAUUUUUUGAUCCAUAUUUAUGAGAUGAAGGGUAUUAUAGACAAUUUGAUAAUAUACUUAAUAUUUUUCAAUAAUUUCUUUAAUUCUUGUGCACGUGUCUAAAACGACAUAUAUUAAGGAACGGAGAGAGUACUAUUUUGGGUAGUCCUUAAAUGUCUAUUUUCCUUUAAUAAUCAAACUUUUACACAUAUUUUUCUAUUAUACCCGUAGCAUUAACUAUCUUAUAUUCUUAAUAUGCGUAAAAAAUCCACCAGAAUUUUUAUCUUAGGACGGAGGGAGUACUAUUAAUUCAUGUAUUCUCACCUUUUCUUUUCUUUUUCCUUUUUUCCAUUUUUGUUUCUUUAUAACUUGAUAGGCAACUAUAUAUCAAAUUAAUAUUCUUAAGCUACAAGAAUUAUUGAAGAUUUUUAGCAGCAUUUAUAUUGAGCUAAUUUGAAACGUCCCAAAAGAAAUUGGGUAAGGCCACCAUUCCAUGGCCCUUACCAAGUGAUUAUGUAAGAUGAGAAUUGAGAUAGAUACAUUUUAGGUACUACUGUAUUUUUAGAACAAACGAACAACAUAGGGUAUCAACUUAUACAUAACAAAGACAUAAAAAUUCACACUUUUUUCAUUAGAUCGGACCAAUAUACAUAACAAACACACAAACUGCUCAAACCGAAAGUAAGAAGUUCAAAGCUCUCCUCCUCUCUCACUUUCCGGGGACAAAGUUGGUGGCAUAGGCCCAUGCAUUGUUGUUCACUGGAUCAGCAAGAUGAUCAGCUAGGUUCUCCAAUGGGCCCUUUCCUGUAACAAUGGCCUGAACGAAGAAACCAAACAUGGAGAACAUGGCAAGUCUUCCAUUCUUGAGUUCCUUAACCUUAAGCUCAGCAAAAGACUCGGGAUCA